AUGUGAUGAUUGUUUUCUGAAAUCUUGUUGAAUUCAGAUCAGACAAAGCAAAGAAUUAUUGUUAUUAGGUCAGUGAAUAUUUUUUCUUAACUUUCUGUAAAAGUUAACAUAAUCUUAAUUAUUGUGACAUGGAAGUUAACUCGUCAAUGAACCUGUUAAAUCUGUGUCGUGUUUGUGUCCAGGAUGUCACCGACAUUCCAUCGGAAAAUAUCUUCGACUCGGCCGGUCCCGAUUGUCCCAGCAUCUAUAUAAAACUCAGUGCAAUCUGUUCCCAAGUGUUUGCCACAGAUUCCAUUGAAAAACCGUUAGCUGAUCAUGCCAAAGCGCUGCCUCCUAUCGUUUGCUCUGAUUGUAAAUCCAAGAUAGAUGAAGCCUACAAAUUGCACCAAAUGUGCUUGGAAGGUAACCGGAAGCUUUGGGAAUGGUUGAUGACCCCUCCGGAAACGACAAUAAAAGAGGAAUAUGUAGAGGAUGUGAUUCAAGUUGAACCGACCCAAUUGCAAAUGCCGGAAGUUUUCGCGGAAUCUCUUGACGUCUUGGCGGAAAAAUCACCAGCACCACCAAAACGCAAAUCUACUACUAAAGGCAGAGUUCAAAAGGAAGUUAAGAAACCUAGACAGAUCAAAUGUGAAAAAUGCCGUGUAAUGACCAUUCGUGAACAUGCUAUGUUUAAACACAUGAAACUUAAACAUCCGGACGAGGCCCUCCCGUGUUACAAGUGUAAAAAAGUUUACUUCGACAAGGCCAAGCUAGAGGAACAUGUGCUAAUCCACACGACCAUAAAAAGACAUCCGUGUCUAAAUUGCCAAAAGCUGUUCAAGACUGCCGCCGAGUUGAGAAUCCACGUGAACGUUUGCACCGGUCAAACUCCCUUCCUGUGCACCGAAUGUGGCAAAGCGUUUUCCUACGCGGCCAGCCUACAAAUGCAUCGAUUGCAGCAUAAGGAGAAAUCCUACGCUUGCGAUCGGUGCCCAUCGAAGUUUCGCCAGAAGGGAACGCUCAAGACUCACAUGCUAACGCACACCAAAGAACGGAAAUUUCACUGCGAAACGUGCGGAGUGAGAUUUCGGCUUAAAAACGGACUCAUGCAACAUCAGAAGACCCAUACAGGUGAAAAGCCAUAUGGUUGUGAUUUAUGCAGUAUGAGAUUCAGGGACACGGCCAGUUUGCGUCGCCACGUUCGAACCCACACCGGAGAAAAGCCCUUCAAGUGUACCCAUUGCGAUCGUGCCUUCGCCCAAACCGGAGAUCUUGCCAAGCACAGUAGAACCCACUUUGGUGAUAAUCCAUACAAAUGCGAACGGUGCGAUGCAGCGUUCCGUCUGCUGGCAGACCUACGGAACCACUAUAAGGUGCACUAUCAGGCGGGUGAUAACGCUACUGGUGACCAGCCGGAUGAGAUACAAUUCACCAUUGUGAGCACGCUCAACCGGCGUGCCGAGCAGGAAAAGCAUCGAGAGAGCCACCAGGUUGAUCAAAUGUUGGACGAGCGAAUCGAGUUGGAAAUGAAACAAGGCGCUUUCGAUCUGGAUACUUCGACGACUAAAGAUACAGAAAAUCUGGAAUCAGUUUCGAAACCCAUGGUCCCCGGAUUUGAAAGCACUAUGAUACAAGCAAUACUCAAGCUAGACGGCACAAAUAAUGCCGAACCGGUGAAGCCUGUAGUUUCUUUUGCUGCGGCAACCAACAGUGAACCAGCAUUUUCGGGCGACGCAACUACUGGGGAAACAGUACCAUUUGGAGUAUCCCAAGGUACGACUCCGGUGCUGAACCUUACUAAAGAAAAGCAGCCUGAACCAAAAAAGAAAGAUAAAACGAUGGAAGAAACCAAGAAAGAUGAACCUCUGCCUUUUAAAAGUUCUAGUGCUUCCGAACAAGCAGCUGAACCUGCUUCUCCAGCAUUGAGAAAUCUGCUUCAAAUGGUGGAUUCUACAACUGCAGAAACCACUGAGCCACCGAGUCCAGACACUUCCACCGCAAUCAUGGCACAUGGUACCGGACUUUUCGGUAGUAUUAAACCACCUUCAAAUGCUUCCAGAAUAGCGGGACUAUUCUCCAACUUCAAGUUCAACACAACCGAAACCGCAACCACAACGACGUCCACGACAUCAACUUUGUUCGGAUCCGUAAAGCCUGCUACAACCAGGGCCAAUAGCAGCACAGGAUUCUCUUACGGAGGAACUACUUUUGGUACUUUUGGUAAUAAGUUGACCGAUCUCUCGGUAAAAUCAGAACCUGCAACCAGCGAAGCAACACCUCUGUGUGCAACUGUGGCCUCUAGCGCAGCUAGUUCAGCUACCAUCACGGUAACGACCACAAUCAUUUCUACCGCUCCAGCUGUCCCGUCUUCUUCGGCAGUAACGACAACUACAACGACAAUCACUACUUCUUCCGGUUUCCGCUUCGAUUCUGUUACUUCGUCUUCCGCAACGAUCACCACAGCAUCCGAUACAGCUCCAACGACAUCAACCGCCGAUACGACAUCGAACCUUUUCGGUUCAUUCAUCAUCUGUUCUCCGUCGAGUCCGGCAUCACCGAAAGACUUUUCCGGGAAUAUUUUUCUAUGCACUUCUUUUGCUACUCCAAAGUCCACCACAUCCAUUUUCGGUGGCGUCACUGUCGGAACAACUUCUGCUGUGACAGCCGAGAAGUCCAAACCAAUUUCCGUUUUCGCAACUUUCACCAGUGCUAAGAAGCCCAAAACAGGGCUUUUCAGAUCAGUUGCUACUAGCGGUGCCGGCUCAAGAGGUUCAAUCUUUGAUACGGCCAGUGCAACAAGUUUUCCAUUCGGAGCUUCUGUCGGGGGUACCUCGGGCAGUGGUCUGUUUGGUUCAAUCAGUUUUCCGCCUUCGCGCACCGGUUCCAUUUACGGAGAAGCAGGAUUGUUUGGAUCGGUUACUAGCAUAUCGGCUGCAGGAGGAUUUAUUUUCGGUGGUACUUCCACUUUCGGAGGUGUUGGAGCUAACCGUACGGGAAGUAUCUUCGGUGGGGCCAACUCCGGUGCUCGGCGGGUGACCUCGGAACAUCAUCGUUCGGAUUGCUAAGCUCGCCACAAUCAGGACAGGCAGGUCCACAAUCCGGGUUUGGAAGUAUCAGGUGUUCUGUGUUACAAAACACUAUCAUCCUAAUUCGGUAAAAC